rnacentral:rRNA from 1 species
UGAAUACGAGACGCUAAGGCGUCGAAGUAGUGUAUGUCAUACUUCCAAGAAAAGCUUGCACUGUCAUUAGUAAAAAAUGCCUGUACCAUAACCGACACAGGUGGGUAAGUAGAGUAUACUAAGGGGCGCGAGAUAACUCUCUCUAAGGAACUCGGCAAAAUAACUCCGUAACUUCGGGAGAAGGAGUGCCUUAUUCUUAAGGUUGCAAUAACAAGAUCCAAGCAACUGUUUAUCAAAAACACAGGUCUCCGCUAAGUCGUAAGACGAUGUAUGGGGGCUGACGCCUGCCCAGUGCCAGAGGGUUAAAGAAGUCGGUUAGCAAUUGCGAAGCUGGUAACUGAAGCCCUGGUGAACGGCGGCCGUAACUAUAACGGUCCUAAGGUAGCGAAAUUCCUUGUCGGGUAAGUUCCGACCCGCACGAAAGGCGUAAUGAUUUGGAUGCUGUCUCGGAGAGAGGCUCGGUGAAAUAGACUUGUCUGUGAAGAUGCGGACUACCUGCACCAGGACAGAAAGACCCUAUGAAGCUUUACUGUAACUUGAAAUUGAAAUUGGACUUUACUCGCGCAGUAUAGGUGGGAGGCGUUGAUUAUAAUCUCGUGGGAUUAUUGGAGCCAUCAGUGAGAUACCACUCUUGUAAUGUUAGAUUUCUAACUUUGAAUCAUUAUCUGGUCAAAGGACAGUUUCAGGCGGGCAGUUUGACUGGGGCGGUCGCCUCCUAAACGGUAACGGAGGCGUACAAAGGUUUCCUUUGAACGGUUAGAAAUCGUAUCUAGAGUGUAAAGGCAUAAGGAAGCUUGACUGUGAGACCUACAAGUCGAGCAGGGACGAAAGUCGGUCUUAGUGAUCUGACGGUACUGAGUGGAAAGGCCGUCACUCAACGGAUAAAAGUUACUCUAGGAUAACAGGCUGAUCUCCCCCAAGAGUCCACAUCGACGGGGAGGUUUGGCACCUCGAUGUCGGCUCAUCGCAUCCUGGGGCGGUAGUACGUCCCAAGGGUUGGGCUGUUCGCCCAUGAAAGCGGUACGCGAGCUGGGUUCAGAACGUCGUGAGACAGUUCGGUCCAUAUCCGGUGUAGGCGCUAGAAUAUUGAGAGGAGCCUUCUUUAGUACGAGAGGACCGAGAAGGACAUACCUCUGGUGUACCAGUUAUCGUGCCAACGGUAAACGCUGGGUAGCUAUGUAUGGAGUGGAUAACCGCUGAAAGCAUCUAAGUGGGAAGCCCACCUCAAGAUAAGUAUUCUCA